rnacentral:rRNA from 1 species
AUGGAACCCUAUGUUGGCAUGAGGUUUGACAGCCUUCAAAUUGCUAAAGAUCACUACAACAGCUAUGCACUACGGAUGGGUUUCUCUAUCAAGAUGAACACAUCUAGACGGACACCCCGCACCAAUGAAUUGAUAAAACAACAGUUUUGCUGCAACAAGUUCAAGAAGCCCAAAGCUGAUGAUGGAGGAGUUGAGGCUCCUCCUGUCCUGGACCCUAUUCCAGAUCCAAAAUCUGUUGACAGUGACGAGGAGAUGGAAGAAGAACCUCCAAUAUUUGCUGAAGUGGAGGCUGGUACUAGUAAGAAGAAGAAGAAGCGCAAACGUGAGACAAUAAAGCAGACUCAGUGCAAAGUGAAGAUGUUGGUGAAGCUGAUAGAUGGGCGAUGGGAGGUGACGCACUUUGUUCGUGACCACAAUCAUCCGCUCGUGAACAAACCUUCAUUGUCAAAAUACUUGAGAUCCCACCAAGGCAUAUCACCUAAUGAAAAGGAGUUUCUGGGCAUCUUGUAUAACUGCAACUUGACUACAGGUGUGGUGUUUUUCUAUAUCCCUUAA